AUGGAAACUAUGCUGAAGGGGCUGCUGUAUGAAGUUCCAACCACAAGCCAUCUCCUGUUUAUAUUAAAGCACAUCAACUUCUGGAUUCAUUCACCAGAUGUACAAGAGAGAGCCCGGGCCAUGAGAUGCAGCACUGUGUUGCUUCAAUAUGCUAUUCAGCUGCCUGAUUUCCAAAAGACAGGUGAACUCCCUGCCUUGGGAUAUCAGGUGGCUCAGUAUGGAAUCUGCAUCACAGAUCCAUUAGAAGAUGUGAACCAUCAGGCCCGGGAAGCCAUCAAGUGCCUUUAUCAGCUGCUGCUUCAUCACAUGGUCGAUAAUGAUGCUUGAUGGUUAAGAACAGCUCAAACACCUGCAACAAUGCUGCUUCAGGCAGGAAGAUCAAGAGAGCAGAAGGCUAGGCUUAGCAGUAUGUUUCCAUCUGGUCUCCGGUUCCUCUUAGGCAAUGCGUCUCUAGAAAGCCCCAAAGGUCCACCAAUAUCACUAAAGAAGCCAGAAAGCAGUUUCUGCCCACAGCUUCUUCUGUGCUGCAUGUCAGCUGAUGCAUCACAUAGACAUCAGUGGCUCCAAUUGCCAAUAGAAGGAAGAAACCAGCUGGGGACGCAGUAUUCCAUUGGGACAAUCAUUCAGAGGGCAGAACCAGAACAUAAAUGUCUUUUUAAAUACCUAUAAUUAAAUGAGAAUAGUGAUUUCCCCAUCUUCUGGUUAAACUGCACUUCUUUCUGUGGAUCGUUUUUCAUGGAUGCUAGCUUGCACUUUGAUGUUUUCUGUGGCCUGACCUGUAUCACUCUCUAAAGCAGCACUCCUGUAAACCAGUGUAAAUGAAGUAAUAUCACUCGCAAUGAGAAGAAGACUGUGUUUGGAUAUAAACACAAAAGAAUGGAUACAUGGAAACAGAAAGGUGGCAAAGAUGAAAUAAAUAAAAGGUAGCAAGUACA
rnacentral:lncRNA from 1 species